rnacentral:rRNA from 1 species
GACGAACGCUGGCGGCGUGCUUAACACAUGCAAGUCGAACGGAAAGGCCCCUUUGGGGGUACUCGAGUGGCGAACGGGUGAGUAACACGUGAGUAAUCUGCCCUUGACUUCGGGAUAACUUCAGGAAACUGGGGCUAAUACCGGAUAGGAAUCCUUGCUGCAUGGUGGGGGUUGGAAAGCUUCGGCGGUUUUGGAUGGACUCGCGGCUUAUCAGCUUGUUGGUGGGGUAGUGGCUUACCAAGGCUUUGACGGGUAGCCGGCCUGAGAGGGCGACCGGCCACAUUGGGACUGAGAUACGGCCCAGACUCCUACGGGAGGCAGCAGUGGGGAAUAUUGCACAAUGGGCGGAAGCCUGAUGCAGCAACGCCGCGUGCGGGAUGACGGCCUUCGGGUUGUAAACCGCGUUCAGCAGGGGCGAAGCUUGUGGUGACGGUACCUGCAGAAGAAGCACCGGCUAACUACGUG